rnacentral:rRNA from 1 species
GGAAUCUUAGACAAUGGGCGCAAGCCUGAUCCAGCCAUGCCGCGUGUGUGAAGAAGGCCUUCGGGUUGUAAAGCACUUUCAGCGAGGAGGAAGGGUGUUGUUUUAAUAGAACAGCAUUUUGACGUUACUCGCAGAAGAAGCACCGGCUAACUACGUGCCAGCAGCCGCGGUAAUACGUAGGGUGCAAGCGUUAAUCGGAAUUACUGGGCGUAAAGGGUGCGCAGGCGGCCCCGCAUGUCAGGCGUGAAAUCCCCGGGCUUAACUUGGGAAUGGCGCUUGAAACUACGGGGCUGGAGUGUGGCAGAGGGAGGUGGAAUUCCACGUGUAGCGGUGAAAUGCGUAGAGAUGUGGAGGAACACCGAUGGCGAAGGCAGCCUCCUGGGCCAACACUGACGCUCAUGCACGAAAGCGUGGGGAGCAAAC